rnacentral:rRNA from 1 species
GUAUUGAUUGGUGCUUGCAUCAUGAUUUACAUUUGAGUGAGUGGCGAACUGGUGAGUAACACGUGGGAAACCUGCCCAGAAGCGGGGGAUAACACCUGGAAACAGAUGCUAAUACCGCAUAACAACUUGGACCGCAUGGUCCGAGUUUGAAAGAUGGCUUCGGCUAUCACUUUUGGAUGGUCCCGCGGCGUAUUAGCUAGAUGGUGGGGUAACGGCUCACCAUGGCAAUGAUACGUAGCCGACCUGAGAGGGUAAUCGGCCACAUUGGGACUGAGACACGGCCCAAACUCCUACGGGAGGCAGCAGUAGGGAAUCUUCCACAAUGGACGAAAGUCUGAUGGAGCAACGCCGCGUGAGUGAAGAAGGGUUUCGGCUCGUAAAACUCUGUUGUUAAAGAAGAACAUAUCUGAGAGUAACUGUUCAGGUAUUGACGGUAUUUAACCAGAAAGCCACGGCUAACUACGUGCCAGCAGCCGCGGUAAUACGUAGGUGGCAAGCGUUGUCCGGAUUUAUUGGGCGUAAAGCGAGCGCAGGCGGUUUUUUAAGUCUGAUGUGAAAGCCUUCGGCUCAACCGAAGAAGUGCAUCGGAAACUGGGAAACUUGAGUGCAGAAGAGGACAGUGGAACUCCAUGUGUAGCGGUGAAAUGCGUAGAUAUAUGGAAGAACACCAGUGGCGAAGGCGGCUGUCUGGUCUGUAACUGACGCUGAGG